CUGGGGGGAGCCCCAGGCUGGUGCAACACCACUGCUGGGACAAAGGGAGCUCCAGGCUCAGCUCUGGGGCUGCUGCACUCCAGCUCUUUUUCCUGCUGAUCCUGCAGUUUGGGGGGACGAUGACAGCUGCAUCGAGGAGGGCUCUGUUCUCUCAGGGAAGAUACACCGAAGUCCAGGACACAUUAUUCCUCUGUGAUCCCCACGCUGGAGGAAGCCAGGUGGAAGGAGGAAUAUCACCACUGUCUCCACACUCUCCCUGAACCUUUGCAUCACCCCUGGGAGGAGGAACCAGGCUGGGCUGCCUCUCUGCUCCUUCUCACCCGAGCCUCCUGCCCAUCCUCCCAGGAGUUGAUUAAUCCAUUAGGAUUAACCUCUCUUUAACUCCUUGAUUAGCUGCAUUUUAAAACUCCAUUUGUUUUCCUUUUUACAUCAAGCUGGAGCCGAAAAAAGACGGCAAUUUGCAGCAAUACCGAUUUAAUGCAAUUUCUGAAAAUCAGGGUGAACGUCGGGAAGCCGUGCUCGGCAUUUCAACUCCUCCCAGCAAGCCGCAAGAGGAGGCAGAUUUGGGAGGAACACUACAGAACCAGCAUCCACCUGAGUCCCCAGAGCUGGCUUCUGAUGGCAUUGGGGCAAACCUGAAAGAUGCAUUGUGGUUUCAAGGUGUCGUUGGGGAAACUGAGGCGAUUGUGAUGUCACGUGGGCUUUUUGGUCCCACAGGGACAGCCCAUCUCUCCACUGGAAACGUCCCUGAUUUCCCUGACCCGUGCGUGGUGGAAAUUGCUCGAGACAGGGCUUCUUGCUCUGAGGCAGGAUUGUGGUUUAGAUCCAUCCAGGUUUGAUUUGCCAGGUUUAGACCCAGUCCUGGGUUUAUCAAACCCGAGUUUAGUCCAUGCCCUAGGUGAGCUACCAGACCCCUCCAAAACCUGGGGGGUUUUUGAUGACAAAAACUUUGCUCGUCUGUGGCAGGGGUUUGGCUCGGUGUCAGCUCCAGCUUUUCUUAUGGGACCCUUCUUUGCCAUGCAGGAGCCAUGUGGGAAAAAUCACUAAUAUCUUAAAAAGUAAGCAAACCCUCUGGAUUUAGAGCAUUCUCAAAUGCCUGUCUGUCCCUUCCCAGUGUGUCCCAGUGGGAGAGAGUGAUUCCUCCAUCCUGGGGCUGAGGCUGUGGGUCACAGGCAGCAGUGGGGAUGUGGUGGGGGGAGCAGUGCUGUGGUAGUGGCAUGGUGGGGGCUCUUUGGACCCCUCUGUCCUGGUUUCACCCCGGCUCUGAGCCCUGUGCAGGAGUGGGCACUCACCCUCUGUCCCAUCCCUGCCAGGCACAGCUCAUCCCCUGGACAAACUGGCUGCUCCAGAGUUACUCCUGCUGUGUUUAUGUGAUUAUUAAGCUCUAAGGUGACUGACACCAAACACCCCGGCCUGUGUUAACCCUUUGAUUCAUUCCUGGGGCGCUUCCUCCGGCUGUGAAUCAGUGUUUGAGUCUGGAUGCUUUCAGAAGUGGCUGAGGCUCAGGGAGCUCAGCAAAGCCAAAGCUGAGAGCUGGGGCCUGGGGUGUCUUUCUCACCUGUCCGAGGGCUGGGAGUCUCCCUCAGGAGUGGGGUGAUGAAGAAAAUGCCUUCCCUCUCCUGUGGAGCUGGAUUUUUGGGGCUGUCUGCACAGAGCAGCUCUCCCUGCAGUUAUCUGGGGUGUCUAGGAAAGGCUGAGAGCAGCAGGGACAUCACUGAAUCCUUUCUCCCCUUCCAGAUUCCCCACUUGCAGGAUGUUUAUCAGGACUUUGGAGAUGUCUCUAAGGUUUUGGAGCAGUCCAAUGUGUUUCUAAGCUAUUUGGGGGUGCAUGAGUGGGAAAUACACAUCAUGAACACGCGUGCAACCGCCUGAAGCUCCAGUUGUUCAGGUGAGAUCUGCCUCCUUCCCAGCACUGAAGCAAAACAAGGCAGAACCAAGCAGAAAUUGGUACAAAAGCAAGCAGAGAGCUUUGCUUUGUAGGACUGCAGCUCCCAAAGCUGGGCCCCCCCUGCACGGGGAGUGUUGGAACAGGAAAAUUCUCUCAGGAGCCGUCUGGGAGCUGUCAAAAUAUAUCAUAGCUGCUGUUGAGGUUUAAAGAGCUUCACGCUGAUGCACAAUUUAGGGGAAGCAUCUUGCAUUUCCAUAGAUGUACAACAAGAUUUUCCAAAAUUGCAGUGAUAUGAGAAAACGUCUUUUAAAGUGGCACCCAGAUGGCGGGAGGAAAUUGUGCUGUUUGAAUUCUCCUCAGAUAAAUCGAUGUUAAAGGGAUGUUAAACAUUUUAUAGGUUUUUCCUCCCCCCGCUUCCACCACCUGCUACUGAAAUGGCAUAAGAGGAGCUAUCAAACAGUGAGAUCUUACAGCACACAGCUUGGGAAAUGGCUUCAUCUGUGGGCAUUUAACACCCAGAGAUUCCAAAGCCAGCAGGGUCAGGCCAGGGGAAGCUGCCGUUUGGGACAGGAAUUUCUGGAGGUGUUGCCCAAACCCAUUUCUAACAAAGGAGCCACAGGCAAACCUGGGGUGUCGGGGCUCAGCCUCGGGGGUUGUGGUGUGAGUGCGGUGCCAUGUCCCGUGUCUGGAGCUGUACUUCUCCUUGGAAAGCCACCUCCUGCAGGGUGCAGAGACCCUCAAAUGCACCAAGGGAGCAUUUGGCUGUAAAUCCCCCUAAUUCCAGCCAUGCCCAGAGCUGUUCUGCCUUAGGGACAAGCUCUCCGUGCCUCUUCGAGGCUGUCCCCAGCAGCAGGCGUUUCCCUCGCAGGUGCUUUUUGUUUUCCUGCUCCUUGGCACUCACAGGCGAGCAGCAUUUUCGCUCCUGAGCUAAAUAUGUCACUUUGUCUGGUAGCGGCUGCCAGGCUUUAAAGCGCUGGCACCUCGUGGAAGCACCCGGAGGACAAAUGCCAAUGAUUACACACCGUCCUUACUCAAGGAGAAGGAAGUGGGCUUUGCGGCUCCUUGUUUUUGUUUUGAAAGUAAAACGAGCCUGUUUACCUGGCUGUUUACUUAAGCCGUGUGAGUCACAGCCCAGGAAACGUGUGCGGACAGGUUUGUCCCCUCGGACGGGUCCCACUUCCCGGGGAUGGGCUCAGGGGACACCGUGAGCAAGAGCAGCAAAUAUUCCCCUUGGUUGUGUUCGUCCCGGGGGAACGUGCUGGGGAUGACAGGGGAGCAGCGCUGGCAUUCCCGGGAAGCCUCUUCCCUGUCCUUCGCUGCCUCCCUUGUGCCGGUGGACACCAGUGGCAGGGAAGGGUCGGUGAUGGGCAGCACCUGCACCCACAGCCGGGUCAGAAGCUGCUGCUUCGAGCUCCAUCCUGGCUGGUCCCCCUGGGGCAGCCCUGCCUCCAGCCCACCUCAGGGCAAGCUAUUUUUACAUGCUCCUUUUAAAAUUCUUUCCAGCGUUGUCGGAUUCAUCCCAGCAGAUGGGUCCAUCAGCAGGCAGGGUGAUGCUCCCCGUGGUGGUGAGGUGGCUUUGUGCUUAGCACCAGAGGGAGGUCACUGCCUGGGCAUGUGGUUGUGGGUUUUUUCAGUGUGCUUCCCAGCUGGGAUCUGGCUUAGAUUUUGGGAGAAGAGACCCCGGGCAAGAUCCCAGGAGCUUUUUCAAAGGGCUGAGCCUGCAAGGAGCACCUGCUCAUCACCAGCGUGGGCUUCCCGACUCCCAGCAGAGCUGCAGAAGCCACGGCGGCUGGGGCUGGGUAUUUUUAAACAAUCUUGGCCGGGCAGGCUCUGCCGGAGCGCUGCUUUUUCCUGUUAUCUCCUCCUGCAAUCACGGAGCGAUUUGGAGCCAGCCGUCGUGCGGCUCAGCUCCCGCAGCUCGGGGGUGCGCAGCUCCCAGCGCUGCCUCGCUUAUCACAGCGUGGGACGCUCGGCAAAUAUCCCAAUCUUUGCUCCAAAUUGCUCCUAACGCCAGGUUAUUUUAGGGGGGAGUGCUGUGUUAUCUAUUAUACCCGCAAACCCAGAUAAUAAUAGUAAUACCCUGUGGCGGAGCGCUGUUAAUGCACCGAGGCUGUCGCUUGUCUCCGAGAGUGCUGCGUGCGGCAGAGUGUUCGAAAGAGUCCCAGCAAGGCCGGCAGCAGCCAGGGAGCACAGCCCGCAGAGGAUGUUCUGUAGCGCUCAGCGCUGCUCCCUGGCUGCUGCAGCCCCGGUGCAGCGAUGUCCUGGCGUGCUGCGGCUUGUAGGGACACCGAGAGCACGGCCCCGGGGCUCGGGA